rnacentral:tRNA from 1 species
GCUCCUGUGGCGGAAGGGAAGACGCUCUAGACCGAGGAUCUAGGUUUUGUGGGUUCGAUUCCCACCAGGAGUACCA